CCCUUAGAUGUUCUGGGCCGCACGCGCGCUACACUGAUGCAUUCAACGAGUUUCUUCCUGGUCCGAGAGGAAUGGGUAACCUUUUGAAAGUGCAUCGUGAUAGGGAUAGACUAUUGCAAUUAUUGGUCUUCAACGAGGAAUUCCUAGUAGACGUAGUUCAUCAGACUGCAUCGAUUACGUCCCUGCCCUUUGUACACACCGCCCGUCGCUCCUACCGAUUGAAUGCUCAGGUGAGCUCUUCGGACUGCGCGGUCUGCAGUUUCUGCGUUCCGUGCGGAAAGUUGCGCAAACCUUAACAUUUAGAGGAAGGAGAAGUCGUAACA
rnacentral:rRNA from 1 species